AGAACGAACGCUGGCGGCAUGCCUAAUACAUGCAAGUCGAACGAACUCUUCGGAGUUAGUGGCGCACGGGUGCGUAACGCGUGGGAAUCUGCCCCUUGGUUCGGAAUAACAGUUGGAAACGACUGCUAAUACCGGAUGAUGACGAAAGUCCAAAGAUUUAUCGCCAAGGGAUGAGCCCGCGUAGGAUUAGCUAGUUGGUGAGGUAAAGGCUCACCAAGGCAACGAUCCUUAGCUGGUCUGAGAGGAUGAUCAGCCACACUGGGACUGAGACACGGCCCAGACUCCUACGGGAGCAGCAGUA
rnacentral:rRNA from 1 species